UACGAAGGGGGCUAGCGUUGUUCGGAAUUACUGGGCGUAAAGCGUGCGCAGGCGGCCAUCCAAGUCAGUGGUGAAAGCCCGGAGCUCAACUCCGGAAUUGCCAUUGAAACUGUUUGGCUCGAGUACGAGAGAGGUGAGUGGAAUUCCCAGUGUAGAGGUGAAAUUCGUAGAUAUUGGGAAGAACACCGGUGGCGAAGGCGGCUCACUGGCUCGUAACUGACGCUCAGGCACGACAGCGUGGGGAUCAAACAGG
rnacentral:rRNA from 1 species